GACGGAGGGUGCAAGCGUUGUUCGGAUUGACUGGGCGUAAAGGGCGUGUAGGCGGUUGGUCAAGUCGGGUGUGAAAGCCCGAGGCUCAGCCUCGGAAGUGCAUUCGAAACUAGCCAGCUAGAGCGCGAUAGAGGAGGGUGGAAUUCCUGGUGUAGCGGUGAAAUGCGUAGAUAUCAGGAGGAACACCGGCGGCGAAGGCGGCCCUCUGGCUCGUUGCUGACGCUGAGACGCGAAAGCGUGGGGAGCAAACAGG
rnacentral:rRNA from 1 species